rnacentral:miRNA from 10 species
CCUCAUUGCAGUGUUCUGGAAUCCUAUGUAAGGGACAAGCAUUCAGAACCUCAUAGCAGUGUUGUGGAAUCCUGUGUGAGGGA